rnacentral:rRNA from 1 species
UACGAACCGUCCAAACGUUAUUCGGAAUUACUGGGCGUAAAGCGUGCGCAGGCGGCUUUGCAAGUCGGGUGUGAAAUCCCCAGGCUUAAACCUGGGAACUGCAUUCGAGACUGCAUUGCUAGAGUAUGGGAGAGGGAAGUGGAAUUCCGGUGUAGCGGUGAAAUGCGUAGAUAUCGGAAGGAACAUCAGUGGCGAAAGCGACUUCCUGGACCAAUCUGACGCUCAUGGUGCG